UACGAAGGUGGCAAGCGUUGUUCGGAUUUACUGGGCGUACAGGGAGCGUAGGCGGUUGGAUAAGCCCUCCGUGAAAUCUCCAGGCUUAACCUGGAAAGUGCAGAGGGGACUGUUCAGCUAGAGGAUGGGAGAGGAGCGCGGAAUUCCCGGUGUAGCGGUGAAAUGCGUAGAGAUCGGGAGGAAGGCCGGUGGCGAAGGCGGCAUCCUGGACCGGCAUUGACGCUGAGGAGCGAAAAGCCAGGGG
rnacentral:rRNA from 1 species